AUCUAUGGCCAUGCCACCCCAAACGAGCCCGAUGUCUGAUCUCAGAAGCUAAGCAGGGUCAGACCUGGUUAGUACUUGGAUGGGAGACCACCUAGGAAGACCAGGUGCUAUAAGCA
rnacentral:rRNA from 1 species